CACACACACACACACACAUACACACACACAUUUAUUUUUUUAUUUGAGGCACUAGGUUUUUGUUUUUUUUUGGUUGGCAUGGUGACUUGACUCCCAGGAUUUCUGAAUCUCUGCAAUAGGAGUUGUAAGAAAUGUGAUCUACUAGAAUUGCACUGUGAGGGAAAGACACAAUGCAGUACAGAAAAUAAAGUAUCUGAGAGCAAUGCAUGAGCAGUGUUGAACAACAUUCAUUAAAUUUUUGUAAGCAAAGCUACUCUAAGCCACUUUUUC